GAGGGUAUAGCUCAGUGGUAGAGUGCAUGCCUAGCAUGCACAAGGUCCUGAGUUAAAUCCCCAGCACCUCCA
rnacentral:tRNA from 1 species